GAUGAACGCUGGCGGCGUGCCUAAUACAUGCAAGUCGAGCGAACAGACGAGGAGCUUGCUCCUCUGACGUUAGCGGCGGACGGGUGAGUAACACGUGGAUAACCUACCUAUAAGUCUGGGAUAAUUUCGGGAAACCGGAGCUAAUACCGGAUAAUAUAUUGAACCGCAUGGUUCAAUAGUGAAAGACGGUUUUGCUGUCAGUUAUAGAUGGAUCUGCGCCGCAUUAGCUAGUUGGUAAGGUAACGGCUUACCAAGGCGACGAUGCGUAGCCGACCUGAGAGGGUGAUCGGCCACACUGGAACUGAGACACGGUCCAGACUCCUACGGGAGGCAGCAGUAGGGAAUCUUCCGCAGUGGGCGAAAGCCUGACGGAGCAACGCCGCGUGAGUGAUAAAGGUCUUCGGAUCGUAAAACUCUGUUAUUAGGGAAGAACAAAUGUGUAAGUAGCUAUGCACGUCUUGACGGUACCUAAUCAGAAAGCCACGGCUAACUACGUG
rnacentral:rRNA from 1 species